rnacentral:rRNA from 1 species
UUAAGCGACUAAGCGUACACGGUGGAUGCCCUGGCAGUCAGAGGCGAUGAAGGACGUGCUAAUCUGCGAUAAGCGUCGGUAAGGUGAUAUGAACCGUUAUAACCGGCGAUUUCCGAAUGGGGAAACCCAGUGUGAUUCGUCACACUAUCAUUAACUGAAUCCAUAGGUUAAUGAGGCGAACCGGGGGAACUGAAACAUCUAAGUACCCCGAGGAAAAGAAAUCAACCGAGAUUCCCCCAGUAGCGGCGAGCGAACGGGGAGCAGCCCAGAGCCUGAAUCAGUGUGUGUGUUAGUGGAAGCGUCUGGAAAGGCGCGCGAUACAGGGUGACAGCCCCGUACACAAAAAUGCACAUACUGUGAGCUCGAUGAGUAGGGCGGGACACGUGGUAUCCUGUCUGAAUAUGGGGGGACCAUCCUCCAAGGCUAAAUACUCCUGACUGACCGAUAGUGAACCAGUACCGUGAGGGAAAGGCGAAAAGAACCCCGGCGAGGGGAGUGAAAAAGAACCUGAAACCGUGUACGUACAAGCAGUGGGAGCCUCUUUAUGGGGUGACUGCGUACCUUUUGUAUAAUGGGUCAGCGACUUAUAUUCUGUAGCAAGGUUAACCGAAUAGGGGAGCCGAAGGGAAACCGAGUCUUAACUGGGCGUUAAGUUGCAGGGUAUAGACCCGAAACCCGGUGAUCUAGCCAUGGGCAGGUUGAAGGUUGGGUAACACUAACUGGAGGACCGAACCGACUAAUGUUGAAAAAUUAGCGGAUGACUUGUGGCUGGGGGUGAAAGGCCAAUCAAACCGGGAGAUAGCUGGUUCUCCCCGAAAGCUAUUUAGGUAGCGCCUCGUGAAUUCAUCUCCGGGGGUAGAGCACUGUUUCGGCAAGGGGGUCAUCCCGACUUACCAACCCGAUGCAAACUGCGAAUACCGGAGAAUGUUAUCACGGGAGACACACGGCGGGUGCUAACGUCCGUCGUGAAGAGGGAAACAACCCAGACCGCCAGCUAAGGUCCCAAAGUCAUGGUUAAGUGGGAAACGAUGUGGGAAGGCCCAGACAGCCAGGAUGUUGGCUUAGAAGCAGCCAUCAUUUAAAGAAAGCGUAAUAGCUCACUGGUCGAGUCGGCCUGCGCGGAAGAUGUAACGGGGCUAAACCAUGCACCGAAGCUGCGGCAGCGACGCUUAUGCGUUGUUGGGUAGGGGAGCGUUCUGUAAGCCUGUGAAGGUGUACUGUGAGGUAUGCUGGAGGUAUCAGAAGUGCGAAUGCUGACAUAAGUAACGAUAAAGCGGGUGAAAAGCCCGCUCGCCGGAAGACCAAGGGUUCCUGUCCAACGUUAAUCGGGGCNACUAUGUGUUGUUGGGUAGGGGAGCGUUCUGUAAGCCUGCGAAGGUGUACUGUGAGGUAUGCUGGAGGUAUCAGAAGUGCGAAUGCUGACAUAAGUAACGAUAAAGCGGGUGAAAAGCCCGCUCGCCGGAAGACCAAGGGUUNGCUGUGAGGCAUGCUGGAGGUAUCAGAAGUGCGAAUGCUGACAUAAGUAACGAUAAAGCGGGUGAAAAGCCCGCUCGCCGGAAGACCAAGGGUUCCUGUCCAACGUUAAUCGGGGCAGGGUGAGUCGACCCCUAAGGCGAGGCCGAAAGGCGUAGUCGAUGGGAAACAGGUUAAUAUUCCUGUACUUGGUGUUACUGCGAAGGGGGGACGGAGAAGGCUAUGUUGGCCGGGCGACGGUUGUCCCGGUUUAAGCGUGUAGGCUGGUUUUCCAGGCAAAUCCGGAAAAUCAAGGCUGAGGCGUGAUGACGAGGCACUACGGUGCUGAAGCAACAAAUGCCCUGCUUCCAGGAAAAGCCUCUAAGCAUCAGGUAACAUCAAAUCGUACCCCAAACCGACACAGGUGGUCAGGUAGAGAAUACCAAGGCGCUUGAGAGAACUCGGGUGAAGGAACUAGGCAAAAUGGUGCCGUAACUUCGGGAGAAGGCACGCUGAUAUGUAGGUGAAGUCCCUCGCGGAUGGAGCUGAAAUCAGUCGAAGAUACCAGCUGGCUGCAACUGUUUAUUAAAAACACAGCACUGUGCAAACACGAAAGUGGACGUAUACGGUGUGACGCCUGCCCGGUGCCGGAAGGUUAAUUGAUGGGGUUAGCGGUAACGCGAAGCUCUUGAUCGAAGCCCCGGUAAACGGCGGCCGUAACUAUAACGGUCCUAAGGUAGCGAAAUUCCUUGUCGGGUAAGUUCCGACCUGCACGAAUGGCGUAAUGAUGGCCAGGCUGUCUCCACCCGAGACUCAGUGAAAUUGAACUCGCUGUGAAGAUGCAGUGUACCCGCGGCAAGACGGAAAGACCCCGUGAACCUUUACUAUAGCUUGACACUGAACAUUGAGCCUUGAUGUGUAGGAUAGGUGGGAGGCUUUGAAGUGUGGACGCCAGUCUGCAUGGAGCCGACCUUGAAAUACCACCCUUUAAUGUUUGAUGUUCUAACGUUGGCCCCUGAUCGGGGUUGCGGACAGUGUCUGGUGGGUAGUUUGACUGGGGCGGUCUCCUCCUAAAGAGUAACGGAGGAGCACGAAGGUUGGCUAAUCCUGGUCGGACAUCAGGAGGUUAGUGCAAUGGCAUAAGCCAGCUUGACUGCGAGCGUGACGGCGCGAGCAGGUGCGAAAGCAGGUCAUAGUGAUCCGGUGGUUCUGAAUGGAAGGGCCAUCGCUCAACGGAUAAAAGNAGGUUAGUGCAAUGGCAUAAGCCAGCUUGACUGCGAGCGUGACGGCGCGAGCAGGUGCGAAAGCAGGUCAUAGUGAUCCGGUGGUUCUGAAUGGAAGGGCCAUCGCUCAACGGAUAAAAGGUACUCCGGGGAUAACAGGCUGAUACCGCCCAAGAGUUCAUAUCGACGGCGGUGUUUGGCACCUCGAUGUCGGCUCAUCACAUCCUGGGGCUGAAGUAGGUCCCAAGGGUAUGGCUGUUCGCCAUUUAAAGUGGUACGCGAGCUGGGUUUAGAACGUCGUGAGACAGUUCGGUCCCUAUCUGCCGUGGGCGCUGGAGAACUGAGGGGGGCUGCUCCUAGUACGAGAGGACCGGAGUGGACGCAUCACUGGUGUUCGGGUUGUCAUGCCAAUGGCACUGCCCGGUAGCUAAAUGCGGAAGAGAUAAGUGCUGAAAGCAUCUAAGCACGAAACUUGCCCCGAGAUGAGUUCUCCCUGAC